GUGAGGAAUAUUGGUCAAUGGACGGAAGUCUGAACCAGCCAAGUAGCGUGCAGGAUGACGGCCCUAUGGGUUGUAAACUGCUUUUAUGCGGGGGUAAAGUGAGUGACGUGUCAUUCAUUGCAAGUACCGCAAGAAUAAGGACCGGCUAAUUCCGUGCCAGCAGCCGCGGUAAUACGGAAGGUCCUGGUGUUAUCCGGAUUUAUUGGGUUUAAAGGGAGCGUAGGCCGUCAGGCAAGCGUGUUGUGAAAUGUCGUGGCUCAACCAUGGACUUGCAGCGCGAACUGCACGACUUGAGUGCGCGGAAAGCAGGCGGAAUUUGUGGUGUAGCGGUGAAAUGCUUAGAUAUCACGAAGAACCCCGAUUGCGAAGGCAGCCUGCUGUAGCGCUACUGACGCUGAAGCUCGAAAGUGCGGGUAUCGAACAGGAUUAGAAACCCUGGUAGUCC
rnacentral:rRNA from 1 species